UUAGAUAGGUAAUACUUUGAUGUCACCGAUUGUUUCUAGAGCAAGUGGCAAAGGACUUGGUGGUUUGUACCCGAGAUCUAAGUUCGAAUUUUAGUUGAUUCACAUUUCUAGCUAAGUUUAUUUCUAAAUGAAAUAAACGAAGCGUGUAGCGUAUUACCUAUCUCUCAAAAAAAAAAAUUUACUUUGAUGUCUAUCGGUAU
rnacentral:lncRNA from 1 species